AUAAUGGGUCAGCGACUUAUAUUCUGUAGCAAGGUUAACCGAAUAGGGGAGCCGAAGGGAAACCGAGUCUUAACUGGGCGUUAAGUUGCAGGGUAUAGACCCGAAACCCGGUGAUCUAGCCAUGGGCAGGUUGAAGGUUGGGUAACACUAACUGGAGGACCGAACCGACUAAUGUUGAAAAAUUAGCGGAUGACUUGUGGCUGGGGGUGAAAGGCCAAUCAAACCGGGAGAUAGCUGGUUCUCCCCGAAAGCUAUUUAGGUAGCGCCUCGUGAAUUCAUCUCCGGGGGUAGAGCACUGUUUCGGCAAGGGGGUCAUCCCGACUUACCAACCCGAUGCAAACUGCGAAUACC
rnacentral:rRNA from 1 species